rnacentral:tRNA from 1 species
GUGGCUCAAUGGUUAAGUACUCAGCUACUAACUGAAAGGUUGGUGGUUCGAACCCACUC